rnacentral:rRNA from 1 species
GACGAACGCUGGCGGCGUGCCUAAUACAUGCAAGUAGAACGCUGAAGGACGAGUUUGCUUCUCUGGAUGAGUUGCGAACGGGUGAGUAACGCGUGGGUAACCUGCCUGGUAGUUGGGGAUAACUUCUGGGAACUAUAGCUAAUACCGCAUAAUAGUACAUGUUGCAUGACAUUUGUUUAAAAGUUGCAAUUGCAUCACUACUAGACGGACCUGCGUUGUAUUAGCUUGUUGGUGGGGUUACGGCUCACCAAGGCGACGAUACAUAGCCGCCCUGAGAGGGUGGUCGGCCACACUGGGACUGUGACAGGGCCCAUACUUAUUCGGGAGCCAGCCGUAGGGAAGCGUCGGCAAUCGGUGGAAGUGUUACCGAGCAACGCUGCGGGAGUAUAGAAGGUUUCCGGAUCGUAAAGGUCUGUUGUCAGGGGAGAACCAGUGUUAGAGUGGAAAGAACAGACUGUGACGGUAUCUGACAAGAAAGAGACGGCUAACUACGUG